CCUACGGGAGGCAGCAGUGAGGAAUAUUGGUCAAUGGGCGUAAGCCUGAACCAGCCAAGCCGCGUGCGGGAUGAAGGCUCUAUGGAUCGUAAACCUCUUUUAUAAGGGAGUAAAGUGAGAGACGUGUCCCGUUUUGUAAGUACCUUACGAAUAAGGAUCGGCUAACUCCGUGCCAGCAGCCGCGGUAAUACGGAGGAUCCAAGCGUUAUCCGGAUUUAUUGGGUUUAAAGGGAGCGUAGGUGGGUUGUUAAGUGAGUGGUGAAAGUUUGCGGCUCAACCGUAAAAUUGCAUGUGAUACUGGAAGUCUAGAGUAUAGAUGAGGUAGGCGGAAUUUGUGGUGUAGCGGUGAAAUGCGUAGAUAUCACGAAGAACACCGAUUGCGAAGGCAGCUUACUAAACUGUAACUGACGUUGAGGCUCGAAAGUGUGGGUAGCAAACAGGAUUAGAUACCCUUGUAGUC
rnacentral:rRNA from 1 species